AUCUCCUACUUUUUGUUUGCACGAGCCUAAACUGCAUAAACCAAAGCUCCUGGCCCGCAAGAGCAUAAACUGUGUAUGGCAAAAUCAUCAUCAAAAUCAUCAUCAAAAUCACCAUAAAAAAAAAAGAAAAUUUAUCGCUCAUUUGAACUACGUUAUGACUUGAUCCUUCCUCAACAGAGGGUACAUAGGCAACUUGAAACGUCAAAACUUCAAGUACAGUCACACCAUCUAAAAAAAUAAUAACAUUUUGAAGAUUGAAGAGCAAAUUCAAGAACAUAAAUACUUUAUUUCUUUGAAAAAAGGAGUCGGCUCCAAAGCCUUAUUACAAAAA
rnacentral:lncRNA from 1 species